GUGUUUUUUAGCAUCCACUUUGCUUCUUAAAGGUGUCUUUUAUCAAGAAGAAUCCACACAGAACAGUGAAUUAAAUAUCUACAUUGGAUGUAUGUUCCUUAGGAAGAUUUGGAAGUCAAAUUUGAUGAAACGCCACUUCACAUUAACUCCUGAAUACGAAGUUUGAUAACUAUGGAGUUAUGCGAAGCAUAUAAAAUACUUGUCACCCUCACGGAUAUGUGGUAAUACCUACUAUGCCUACCUACUUAUUCAGUAUGAGUAUGACUAGAAGAGAAGAUUCCUUCUUAAUUUUGAAAUGUGUGAUAUCAAUAAUUGCCAUGACGCAUAACACUGAAGUAAAUUAGCAGGAAUGUUGUUGGUAAUUAUUAUCUCCGACUUACAUCAACAUCCUUUUACCAAUUUUGUUCAAGACAGAAGUCAGAAUGGGUGCAGGGCAAAUACAUCAACUAGCACUUGGAUGGUCAUCUGAUCAAUGUGAUCAUUGCUUAUAGAAAUUCCAAGGUAUUUUCUCUCUACAACAGCAUUUUUUUUCUGACAGUCACUCAUUUACACUGAAGGACCACUUUCUUCACCCAAAAUUGAAUUAUGACUGAACAUAUAUGAUUACUCACCCACCUUCCCACCUUCUUUUUAACAUCUGUAAAGCUUUAUAUUCUUAACAAUAUUAUGAAUCUAUUUCUCUUUUCAGAAAAAUAAAGACGAUGAAAUACACUUAAAAAGGAAAUAAAAAAGCAAUUAUUGCCAGCUUUCACAAGCCGAGAAGAGAGUAGAAUAUCAGAGGCAUUGCAGUGUUACCGAGAUGUAUGUAAAAAAUUAAGAACCAAUAACUUUGAGUGGGAUGUUCUAGAUGAUAUAGACGACUUGCUUCUCUCUAUAAUGGAAAAUGAGCAAAACCUUGCCUUGCGGAAAUGUUAUGAAGCAAUUCUACUAGCGGUUGUCUGUGAUUCAGGUUUAUCUAGCUUGAAAUGGUCAAAUAGAUUAACUGCGCUGUUCAAGGAUUACUGUAGGGUUGAUAUUGGACCAGGAUCUGGGCUGAAUAGCCUCAAGGCUCUCAAAGCUUUUAUUAUAAAUACUUGGCCUCGUCUAAAAGAGAACUGGGGUCGACUGACAGCAAUUGUGUUGGAGUCGCUGUUUGACCUGUAUCAUUCAAAUCAAUUACUAGGAAUGCGGAAGAAACUGAUGAAAUUAGGAAUGUUUGCUUUGAUAGCUUGGUGCUUUUACAGAAAGCAGUUCCUGAUGAAGUUAACCAAUUCAUUCAAGAAAUUCUAA
rnacentral:lncRNA from 1 species